UUCCUGCCUUUAUUAUCACUUCUUUCUCAGAUCUCUCUCUUCAUCUCAGUUCCUAUUCAUCAACAAGUGAAAACCCAAAUACUUUCUCAGAUCUCUCUCUACAUCUCAGUUCCUAUUCCUAAACGAGUGAAAACCCAAAUAAAAAUCUCAAUCUCGGUUUCUCUUCGUCUUCUCUUGUCUUUGUUAUACUCAGAUUCAUCAUUGAAACCCUCUAUGAAAACUCUGCACUUGUUUACAUCGAUUAAGAUUUGAAUCACCAGUUGCAAUCUGAAAAUACUGUUGGUAAUGCAAGAGCAGGAUCAAAUAAUUUUAAAUCAGAUGUUUUAUGACCUUUUAGAUUCAACUCAAGACUUUUAAUACGAGUUGUUGAAUCUUUUGAAUCUAACAAUUAAGCUACUGAACAAGAUGUUGAAGGAGGAGAAAUUAGUAUUAUUAUAGAUCAAAAUCUAAGAAGUUAAGAUAUCUAUCUGUAAAGGGAAUCCUUAAAAAGUCCAGUUUGGAUGGUGGUGAAAAGAUUAACAACUCCCAACAACUUCCAAGUAUUCAAGCAUUAUUGAUUCAUAUGAUUUCAAUUUCUUAAAUUAGGGUUUAUUUAAUCUUAACAGUUUUUGCUUAUUUGAAGUUGAAAUACAUGGAUUUGGAUAUUUUUUAAUUGAUUUUAAUUGUGUAUAUUGUCACUGGUAAUUCAAUUUUGGUAUUGGUUAUUUUCCGUUUUUCUCAUCUUUUCAGUUAUGGAAUUACUUGAAUGGAUGAAAGUUGCUUGUAAGGGGUUCUCCUGGCAUUUAUGUGUACUUUAUAUUUUUCUUGUUGUUGAUGUGUGAUUAUGCUCCAAUGGUGGUAUAUAUUGUUUCAUCUGUGGUCUGUUUGAUGGUUGCUCUCAUUUUUGAAAAGUUAGUCUUUGAAUUGUAUUGUUUGGAUGUUAGGUUCUUUAAGGAAGCUAGUGUGGAAGAAUGAGAAGAUGCUGAGAUACUUAACCGAAUAUCAGUUGUUUGUUUAAUUACUUAAGUUGGAAUAUUUUUUUGUAAGAUUAUUAUGUUUUCGGUUAAGAUUUAGCUAAUGAAUGAUGUUGUUUUUCUAAUUGUUAGAAUAAAAAAGGGGGUAAAGUCAAGCUACAAUCUAUGUUGAUACCAUGUCUGAAUCCGAGCACCUGAGAAAGGGAAAGCGUUGUAUGGUAACUUCUCAUUAUCAAAUUCAUAUAUAUGUUCCAAAUGUUUUUUUUUCUUUCCAUGUUGUACUUGAACUUAGCUUAUAUAUACUUAGUGCUAUUUGUAUCCUUGUACGAUCAAUGAUUAGUAAUGAGUGUGGACAAUUUUUUUGACUCAGCUGUGUGGCUUGGUUAUCAUGUUUGUUUACAUCUUCCAGUAGUUUGAUACUACUUGUCGAGAUGAUAGGCCCCCAUGUUUACUCUCUUUAUCUCUUAAUUAUUAUUUCUAUGUAGAUUUAGUUUCUUACGCUAGGUAGUAAGAUACGACAAAUGAGAAUACAUUUUCUUCCAUUGAUGAAUAGGGGUUCAAUAUUGUGCCUUCCUAAAGCAGGUGAAAUUUGUUCAAUUGGUAGUAUUUUAGGCAUCCAGUUCCAGCAUAAGAAAGAGUAGCUUUAUGCUAAAGAUUUUUUGUACCAUUUGAGGAUUAUGUGUUUUAUAUAACCAAUCAUAAGAAAGAGUAGCAUUUCUGGCUCAAGUGCAGAUUGUCAGCUAAUCUAUGUUUUUUGUGGGAGGAUCUGUCUUCUGCUCUAACAGAAGACAUAGUUCCUUCCUGUUGUAUUUUGUUUCCAUUUAAGUUAUAUUACUUCUUUUUGUUCUCUUGCCCUCGAUGUAUAAUACUGUAAGUGCUAAUACUAUAAGUUCAAUAUUAGUGACUGUAUCUAUAUCCUUUUUGAUGACCAUUUCAGUUGAUCAUAAUCAUGAUUCAUGUCUAGGUUAUGAAAUUUCUGUUGGUGAUUUUCAUGUUUAUUUUUCAGUUUCCAUGGUUUGGUUAGUUUAGUUUCUCUUCAUAAGGUAUCUUUCCUCGGCUUUGUUCAUUUGAAUAUUUUUCAGGUUAGAUUUUUUAUUCGUGUGCUGUCAAUCAUUUGAAUAAGUUCUUGUUAUAGGAUUGUAGGAUUUAUGUAAAUGGUUAAAUUGAUUCGUUUAUGUUGUCUCUCAUGUGAGAUGUACAGGUAAUCAUGGUUUACAUGCUAACAAACCCGAGUGACACGGAAACUUGAAUUUUCAUUAACAUCUUUCAUACAAAUACAGAGGCUGAGCUUGCUGGGUGCUUAAUGGUCCUGAUUAGAGACAAUUUGUUAACUUAGUGUAGAUUUUCUGGUUUGUUAGCUUGUAACAAGAAUAUGAAAUUAAGUAGAUGAAGUUUUGAGAUUUGGAAAAAGUAUUUUAGACUGUUGGCGCUUUUUAAUACAAAUUUCGUAUUGAUUUUACUGUCAA